GUGUACGGCCAUACCACCCUGAUCAUGCCCGAUUUCGUCUGAACUCAUAAGCUAAGCAGGGUCGGACCUGGUUAGUACUUGGAUGGGAAAUAAUGUUUGGGAGACCGCCCCCC
rnacentral:rRNA from 1 species